rnacentral:lncRNA from 1 species
GAAACAAAAGGACAUGUCCUAUGGGGACAUCUAUUGCACCCUUUUGGAACCCUUCUUUCUAAGAGUGUAGGCCUACGUACAAGUGCUGCAUGCCCCUGUACCUCGCGCGGGUGGGUAUGUGUGUGUUGGUGUGUGUAUGGGUGUGCCACCGUAGUGUGUGUGUGUGUGUGUGUGUGUGUGUGUGUGUGUGUGUGUGUGUGUGUGUGUGUGUGUGUGUGUGUGUGUGUGUGUGUGUGUGUGUGUGUGUGUGUGUGUGUGUGUGUGUCUCCAGUACAUGACUAGGGCCGAGCUCCCUGCCAUCCAGGACCUCUAUAUAAGGCGUGUGAACGGAGCGCCUGUGAUAUUGAUAAAAACUUCAGCUAGGGUUAGGAGCUAGGGUUAGGGUAAGGGUUAGGGUUAGGGUUAGGGUUAGGGUAAGGGUUAGGGUAAGGAGCUAGGGUUAGGUUUAGGGUUAGGGUAAGGAGCUAGGGUUAGGUUUAGGGUUAGGGUAAGGAGCUAGGGUUAGGUUAAGGGUAAGGAGCUAGGGUUAGGUUUAGGGUUAGGGUAAGGAGCUAGGGUUAGGUUUAGGGUAAGGAGCUAGGGUUAGGUUUAGGGUAAGGAGCUAGGGUUAGGUUUAGGGUUAGGGUAAGGAGCUAGGGUUAGGUUUAGGGUUAGGGUAAGGAGCUAGGGUUAGGUUUAGGGUUAGGGUAAGGAGCUAGGGUUAGGUUUAGGGUUAGGAGCUAGGGUUAGGUUUAGGGUUAGGGUAAGGAGCUAGGGUUAGGUUUAGGGUUAGGAGCUAGGGUUAGGUUUAGGGUUAGGGUAAGGAGCUAGGGUUAGGUUUAGGGUUAGGGUUAGGAGCUAGGGUUAGGUUUAGGGUUAGGGUAAGGAGCUAGGGUUAGGGUUAGGGUUAGGGUUACCUUGUUGUGUGUCUAUCUGUGUGUGUGUGUGUGUGUGUGUGUGUGUGUGUGUGUGUGUGUGUGUGUGUGUGUGUGUGUGUGUGUGUGUGUGUGUGUGUGUGUGUGUGUGUGUGUGUGUGUGUGU